CGUUGAUCAAGUCAUACCUAAUCCUCUUAGAAUCCUGAUAUAUCGGCUAAAAUCAAUAGAUUCUGUCCCAUCUUGAAUCCCAAAUAUUUCGGCUCCCGUCUCCUUCACAAACUCUCUCAUUUUAUUCUCUCAAAAAACGAAAGCUGCCGACCCUAUCAUCUCCCUCAUCAGUUAAUGUAACCACCACCAGCACUCUCCUCAUUCUUGGCGCAUGGAUUUAUGUUAAAUAACUUGGCUUGCCCUGAUUUCAUUAUCUGCCCCCUCUUCACAUCGCCCCUGCUUCCGACAAUUGCAUCUCUGGUUCUAUCCUCCUCUUUUAAUGCUUUGCUGAAGGCAGGGCGAGUGGCUAUUUUUGGCAUAUCAUUAUGUGACUGCAAACCACAAUGUUGUUUAUCACGAUGCUCUGUAUCUCAAACCCUAAGCCGCAAUUUAUCGUCGGCACUAUCACCCCCUUACCACUUCUCUCUAACAUAGACAUUCGUCGAUCAUUCACCACUAUCUUUACAACACCGUAUCGACUGCACCAUCAGGGUCUCUUUCCCUCUUACAGCCGCCUUCAAUAACAUGCAAAAGCCUUCUCAUACCAUUCGCCAUUUCGGAUUCCUAACGUCACCACCACCGUAUCCAUCACUUCUAUUCCUCUCUGCCAUCAACGUCUUCGCCUCUGAUUUUCUUCACAACCACCGCUCACACUGCGCCAUCAACACAAUAAGUUGGGUUCAACAUGAUCCGGACGCAUUUCAAGAAAUGGCGACGGUUUGAAUCCAUUCAAUACCUACUAUAUGAAUGGGUUUCAAAUUUUGCCAUUUAUGGGAAAGCUACCUGUCAUCAGUGUUAGAUAAGUGAUUAGAAGGAAUUUCUUGCAGGCUAUGGAGGAACUUGGAUUGAUAUUUGAUAGGGUUACAUAUUCAAGGUUAAGCACUUAAGCCAAGUGAAUAUGAUUGCUUAAGGGCUAUGACACUUGGUGUUAUUGAUUUGGGGAUAUGAUGAUGAUUCAGGUAGGGAUUCAACAAUGACAUUAGUACAAAAUGGAGACACCAUCUGGGUUACUAUGAAGAUCAAGCUUGAGUUAAGCCAUGCUGCCAACUAUAACAUUAACAUGGUUGUCAAGUUACUUGAGCCUAUUAAGGAACAGUACCACACCAUCUCUUAUGAUGAUUUCUAUCAGGAUUUUACUCCUUUGUGAUCUCAUAUGUUAGAGUUCUAACGAGUUUUAUUCCAAAGAGGUGGUUUCAAGUUCUCACAGAUUCUGGUGAAGGCUAUAAAUCACAUAGGAUUAACAAGGUUCGUUGCUGUUUCGGGAUAUCUACCUUGCUACUAUAAAUCAUCUUGGUUGGAGUUGCAUACCGCCUCUUCUGAUUAAUUUUGUGGUGUGAUGCUUCAAAUGUUAUUGGGUUUUGUAUCUUAUUCUAACAAAGUUUCUUGCCAUUUAUGUUUCUUACAAAUUACUACUGAGAAAUCAUCUAGAAUGGAGUUUGUUUGCUGCUUCUUUGGCAGAAAAAUAUGAUUUUGUUAUUUGUUGUAUCUAUGUCUAAAGUUGAAAAUUUUAUUUAUUUA